AGCACAUACCUGAUGACUUGGGGUACCUUCGAAUCCUGAUAUGGUUCUAUAUCUUAUUCUUUCUGUUUGAGUGUUAUAGAAGAAAGUUGAGUAUGGAAGGAUAUUGUGGAAUGUAUGUAGAUGUUCUACUGUCAGUCGCUGGUGGGAGAGUUUAGCGCUACUCUCUCAUCACUUCAUCCUUAAGGGAUAAUUGUAUUUUUGACUAUCCUUUGAUAGGAGAUCCUUUCUAAUUGUGAAGUUUAUUAUAGUGGACUUGAAAAUGGAAAGAAAUUCCUUUGGUGUUACUCCUCUGGUCAUGCAAUUAUUUUAUGUAAUUCAGUGGGGGUGGAUGUAACAGGGUUAAAAAGAGUACUUAAUUUAAGAGUUUUGAUGUGUGAAUUUCAUAAAAUAAGCAUUUGGUUAAAUUCAUUGGUGUUCAAAGGCUCCCCUCCUGUGGCUAUUAAUGGUACUGCAGACAGUGUAUUUUGUCGCUCUUCUCUUGCCGUACUCCAGCAGAUUUGAGUGUCGCUGCUGUGGUCUUGAAUGUCUGCAGUAGUUUAUCUUCAGCCAAAGUGAUUUGUGCCAUUUUAUUUCCAAAAGAUAAAGGCAAGCACAAGGAAACCCACGUGUGAGUGUGUUUGUUCACGUCUGUU